rnacentral:rRNA from 1 species
GGCUUGUGAUAAUAAUUUUAAGUYUGACCUGCCCAAUGAUAAAUUUAAUGGCCGCGGUAUAUUGACCGUGCAAAGGUAGCAUAAUCAUUAGUUUUUUAAUUGAAAGCUUGUAUGAAAGGUUUGAUGAGAGAAUUUCUGUCUCUGUGAAAAUUUAUUAGAAUUUUAUUUUUAAGUGAGAAAGCUUAAAUAUUUAUAGAAGACAAGAAGACCCUAUAGAGUUUUAUAUUAAUAUAAAAAAUUUAGUUUUUAGAAUUAGAAGAUAGAUUUUUUAUAUWAAUGUUUUAUUGGGGUGAUAGGAAAAUUUGAUUAACUUUUCUUUAAAAAGGCCAUUAAUUUAUGAGUGUAUGAUCCUAAUUUAUAGAUUAUUAGAUAAAAUUACCUUWGGGAUAACAGCGUAAUUUUUCUUAGAGUUCUUAUCGAAAGAAGGGAUUGCGACCUCGAUGUUGGAUUAAAAUUAAUUAUUGGUGUAGAAGCUAAUGGAUUAGGUCUGUUCGACUUUUAAAAUUUUACAUGAUCUGAGUUUAAACCGGCGUGAG